rnacentral:rRNA from 1 species
UACGAAGGUGGCAAGCGUUGUUCGGAAUUACUGGGCGUAAAGGGCGCGUAGGCGGCUAGGCAAGUCAGGUGUGAAAGCCCCGGGCUUAACCCGGGAAUUGCAUCUGAAACUGCUGUGCUUGAGUUCUGGAGGGGGUAGUGGAAUUCCCAGUGUAGCGGUGAAAUGCGUAGAUAUUGGGAGGAACACCUGCGGCGAAGGCGGCUACCUGGACAGAAACUGACGCUGAGGCGCGAAAGCUAGGGGAGCGAACGGG